UAUAAGUUUUCCUUUAUCCACAAAAAGAAAUGAAUCCACAGUAGAAUAUGAUAAAUAUUGAAUACUAUAGUAAAUGUCGAAAAUAACCAGCUCCUGUUGACAUUAGCCAUCUAGAUUAAGAGGUAAUGGGAAAAAUAACCAGCUCCUGUUGACAUUAGCCAUCUGGAUUAAGAGGUAACGGGAAAAAUAACCAGCUCCUGUUGACAUUAGCCAUCUAAAUUUAGAGGUAACAGGAAAAAUAACCAGCUCCUGUUGACAUUAGCCAUCUAGAUUAAGAGGUAAUGGGAAAAAUAACCAGCUCCUGUUGACAUUAGCCAUCUAGAUUAAGAGGUAACCGGAAAAAUAACCAGCUCCUGUUGACAUUAGCCAUCUAGAUUAAGAGGUAACGGGAAAAAUAACCAGCUCCUGUUGACAUUAGCCAUCUAAAUUUAGAGGUAAUGGGAAAAGAGUUGGUUAGUUUGUGUUUUUUUUUUUGCUUUUCAUAACAACUAGAAAUGACAUGAAUUACCUUGAUAAUUAAGGGAAAUAAAACAAGUUUUGCAUAAACAGUGAGAUCAUGGAUGGUUACAUUCUAGUGGAAUAUAAAGAGGAAAAAACAAAGGAUCAGAUUUAUUUAGACAAUAUCCAAAAGUCAAACAACUGAAGCUCAACAUUUACCAAUUGAAAACUAUACACCAUGACAUGUUUGUAAUUACCUAUAGGUCACCAUUUGGCUUUCAACAACAAACAAAAUCCAUUCUGUAUAGUCAGCUUUAAAAGGCCCAACUAUGAGAAAAGGUGAAACAAUACAAGUAAGAAUAUUAAUGGCCUGAUUUGUAACAAAACCAUUUACAAAAAACAGACAUGAACCAUCGACAACCACUGGAUUACAGGCUCCUGACUAGGAACAGACAUAUACAUAAUGUGGUGGAUGAACCCUCAUCUUAUAAGGGACAGUGGUGUAAAAGCAUAAGAUAAGAACAUGCUGUAAAGAUCAGCAGUUAAGCAUACAAAACAACUAACAUAAAAACAUGAAUUAUUGUAUGACUUCUCCAUGAGUCACAUUUACAUAAAACUUGAGGAUGUUUUAAUGGCCUACCUUAUUUUCA